CAUAUGUCUGCGGCGGUCCCUGCGCCCACCGGAUUCCACCGCCCUCUCUCGCUGGGCUGACUUGCAUCGAAAAGGCGGCGGGGGGGGGAAGGAAAGGGGAGUGUGUGUGUGUGUUUGUGUGUCGAGGCGGCGCGCGCGGCGGCGGCUGCGGCGGGCGGUGUUGUUAAAACACUUUCUUACCGUAAGAGGGAGUUGGGACCCAGCGCGUUCCAGUUAAUCACACAACAACAAAAACUUGGGUCAUCGCAAUAAAAAGCAGCUCGGCUUGCUGCGUCUCUUCUGUUGCACGGCUGGGCAUCUUCCUUUCACCACCUUUGGCGCCCUUUCGGGGUGACCCAAGAAAAAGCGCAGCUUCUCAAACCACCCAUGUGGGCCAUCCAGCUGUUGCCCCUCGGACUCGUCCUUCAGUCCCUCCUGGACGCCCCUCUGGCAGAAGGAAAGGGGAAAAGAAAUCCUCUACAUGACUAUAGAAGGACAUCCGAUACGUUAUUAGUGGGAACAGACAAGACACUGAAAGUGAAAACUAAGCUGCUAAAUAGUGCGGAACAGUGUGCCAAGAGAUGCAACAGAAGCAAAGGCCUUCCCUUCAUUUGCAAAGCAUUUGUGUUUGAUAAAACUACAAAACGUUGUCGCUGGCUAUCCUUUACUAGCCUAGAAAAUGGAGCAGUGAGAAGGCAGAACAACACAUUUGUUCUCUAUGAAAAAAAAGACUAUGUGAGAAAUUGUAUCACUGGGAAAGGAGCAAGUUAUAAGGGAACCAUAUCCAUCACAAGGAGUGGAAUCCGAUGUCAGGCAUGGGAUUCCACAAUACCUCACGAACACAGCUUUUUGCCUUCGAGCUAUCGGGGUAAAGAUCUCCGGGAAAACUACUGCCGGAACCCCAGAGGAGAAGAAGGUGGACCUUGGUGUUUCACAGUUGAUCCAAAAGUGCGGCAUGAAGCUUGUGACAUCCCUUUCUGUUCAGAAGUUGAAUGCAUGACAUGCAAUGGUGAAGACUAUAGAGGCCCAAUGGACCACACAGAAACCGGCAAGGAAUGUCAGCGCUGGGAUCUUCAAAGACCACAUGCACACCAGUAUCGCCCAGAGAGAUAUCCUGAUAAAGGCUUUGAUGAUAAUUACUGCCGCAAUCCGGAUGGUAAACCGAGACCAUGGUGUUUCACUCUUGACCCAAACACCCGCUGGGAGUUUUGCAACAUCAAAACGUGUGCUCAGCAUGUGAUGAACAACUCUGUAUCAGUAACUGAGACAACAGAGUGCAUUAGUGGACAAGGAGAAGACUACCGUGGUACUGUGAGCACUAUCUGGAGUGGGGUUGAAUGCCAACGAUGGGACUCCCAGACUCCUCAUAAACACAACUUCACGCAAGAGAACUUUAAAUGCAAAGACUUAAGAGAGAACUACUGCCGAAAUCCCAAUGGACAGGAGGCACCCUGGUGUUUUACUACAAACCCAGAGAUUCGCACUGGGUAUUGCUCUCAAAUACCGAAAUGCAAUGUGCCGAGCAAGCAAGAUUGCUAUCAAGGGAAUGGGUCAAAUUAUAAGGGAGAUUUAGCCCGGACCCGGUUUGGCUUAACUUGCUCUCCAUGGAAUCAAAAUUUUCAAGAUUUAAUGCGGCAUCUGCCACUAUACAGAGACCUAGAGAUUAGCAAACUCAAGGAAAACUAUUGUCGCAAUCCAGACGAUGAUGCUCAUGGACCUUGGUGUUAUACAAGUGAUCCUCAAAUCCCUUGGGAUUAUUGCCCCAUAUCAAGAUGUGAAGAUGAUGUAACACCAAGCAGUUCAAAUCCUAAUGUCAUUCCAUGUGCCUCAACAAAACAAUUGAGAGUUGUUAAUGGAAACCCAGCUCAACCUGACAAGGCAUGGAUGGUUAGUUUGAAAGACAGCAGAGGCAGACAUUUCUGCGGAGGUACACUGGUAAAGGAAGACUGGGUCCUGACAGCAAAGCAGUGCUUUCCUUCUCGGUAUAACCUCAAUGACUACCAAGCCUGGCUUGGAAUACAUAAUGUUGAAAGAGCACAUGAAGAGGAGCGUAAGCAGGUUCUGAAUAUCUCCCAGCUGGUGGAUGGCCCCAAAGGAUCAGAUCUGGUUUUACUGAAGCUUUCCAGACCUGCAGUAAGCAGUGAUGCUGUGGUUAUCAUCAGGUUGCCCAUUUCUGGAUGUACCAUUCCGGAAGGCACUGCCUGCACUGCAUAUGGAUGGGGACAUACAGGACGAGCCGACUUCGAUGGGCAACUUCAAGAAGUCAACAUGGUUGUUAUGAGAAAUGAGCACUGCAAUCGGGAUUUUGGUGGCAACGUAGUUGUGAAAGAGUCAGAAAUGUGUGCCAUGGCUGAGAGAAUUGGCAGCGGGACCUGUGAGAGGGAUUAUGGCGGUCCAUUGGUCUGUGAACAAAACAGAAUUAAAAUAGUAGUGGGAGUAAUUAUUCCUGGGCGUGGAUGUGCAAUCCCUGGACGACCUGGGGUUUUUGUCAGGGUGGCCUUCUACUCCAAAUGGAUACAUAAAAUCUUAAUGACAUACAGAUCGUAGCUUCCAGCCAAGAAAGGAAAUUCCAGUUACGAGAACAUUUUGGAAAGUAUGAAGUCAAAUUGUAAUAGAAAAAGCCUUGUUGGUUACAAACAAACAAACAACAUUGAUCAAGUACUACUUGAUCGUCAAAUUUUGCAGAUAUUUAUGGAUCUUUCUGUCAUGUUCUGCCUCAUAUUGCGCUAUAUGACAUGAACUGUGGUAUAAGCAAGAAUGGUGACCUAUUUCCUGAAGAUACUUGAAUGAAAAGCAAAACUGCAAAGCGUGAUUGCUGGAUGCGGAUAUGUUCUGUGGAAUUAGAAUGCCCAAUUUCUUGUCUGCUGCUGCUUAUUGUCAGCUUGUUGGGGAGAUGCAAACACAAUUUGAAAUUUAUAGUAUUUUUCCUUACCUACAUAAGUCUCUUUAUUCUUCUUUACAGCAAUGAUAAAUAUGUGCAUCAGCCAGAAAUGAUGCUGUUCUCCUAGCAAAAGCAAGGUUUAAAUUAUAUUUUCACUUCUUUACAAGUGAUUACUUGGAUUUACAUCCCAGUUCAACAAAGUUGCCACAAGCACACCCUAAUGGUAGGGAAAGGCCCUUGUGUAAAAUGUUUGUGGGAUUUGUUGGUGUGUUUGCAGUUGUUAUGAUCCAUGACAACAACUUCUUAAAUUAAUUGAUAUGCUUUGGAAGAUGACCCAUUGAUAAGCCAUUAUUGCAAUUAUAUUUUUGAAAUUUUUGAACUUUAUUUUCCUAUGUGUAUUUACAAUAAGAAGGUAUGUUAAAGGAUUCCAUGCAGUUGAUUUCAUUGUACAUAUAGCAGACCUAAAAAAACAAACAAAACAAACCAAGCAGUAUAUGGAUUUGGACCUAAAAAUGUGUCCAAUGAAUUGUAUGUCCAAGCUUUUACAUGUGGCCAGCCGUGCAGAUAACGUUGAAACUGAGGAGUUGUUUCAAGUACAGUUUGUGCCAGAACUUGAGAGUGGGUUUAAACUUUGAUGUACUUCUCCUCUCAGAAUACUACAGCGAGAAUGACCAAUGACUUUGAGAGUCAUAGUGAAAAAGAGAAAGAAAGGGAGAGGAGGAGGAGGAAGAGGAGAAGAAAAAAAUACAUUUCCAAACUCUAGUUUGUACUAUGGCAUGCAAUGGUGAAGGGCUUCCUUUGAAACAACAACAAAGUAUAGAAAUUCUACUGGGAAUGCUGGACGUUGCUUUUGGUAUAUCAAUCAUAGUAUUUGAUUGAGGCACCUUUUGUGCUUUGCUGUCCUGCUUUCCAUCUCUUUUGUUCCCAAAUUGAAGUCUCCAGAUGUAGUCUCCAGAUGGUUUCUCCAGAAACCUCAAGUGUUGGCUAUGUUGACUUCUAGGAAUUGUAGUCCACCAACAUCUGUUGACUUCUGUUUGGGAGCAACUAUCUUCAUGGCUUGGUAGAGAGGAGCAAUGUAUUUCACCUUCUCUUCACCUAUGAUUUUUUAAAGGUUCAGCCACUGUGUCUCCUCUAAAAAACAGGCCGCUCCACAGCUUACAGUAGAAUUGCUCUGAAGAUGUGUUCCCUCAAAAAUUCACUCUGAUGACUUUCCCACACAACACACUGUUUGUACAGUACACUAGCUGCUUUGCUCCCAAUUUCUAGCCAAUGCUCCAGGUCUGUUUUUGUGUUAGAAUACAAGCCUAGAACCCAGGGUAAGCAAAAACAGAUGGUAGUAGGCAGUUUGGUAAACAGAUCUACACUUUUUUACAUGGUAACAAAUAUGUAAACCUCAGCCAUAUAUUAGGAAUUGCAUUGAUGGCUGGAUAGCUCAGUGAAUCAGGUAUUGGUUGGGAUUUCAAUUCCCUGCUGUGCCUUGAAGGAGAAGGACCAACCUGUGUAGUCUUGGGCCAGCUUUGUAAUCCCAAAAUACCCCAGAAGAAGGGAAUGGUAAACCAGUUCUCGGUAUUCUUUACUUAGAAAAUGCUAGAAAGGAUACCAUAUCAGAAUUGACUUGACUGCAUGUAAUUAUUAUUAUUAAAAGGCUUUAGUUAACAUACCUGCAACAUUCAAGCAAACUGUGUAUUACUGGAUUGUAAGAAUAUCAGAUCAAGUCCUUUCUCUUACCAUUGUGCAGUCUCAAACAAUGUUUUCUAGUUGUUUAAAGCCACAAGGCACCAGGUGAUCUCUAAAAAUUCUUGUUAAUAAGUGGGCCCUUUUCACAUGAGCCUAUAUUACAGCCAUAACUUCCCUCUGAAUGCUUCUUCUCAUUAUUGUUGAAUGGGUCCUGUGUAGGUUUGGUUUUUUUUUCUUUCAGGGGUAGAAAGAUAAUUUAAUUACAGCAAGGGGAGGCAGAUAUCAAGCUAGUAAGAUAUACGUUUUUGAAUUGGACUCUGAGAUUAGCCAACCUUCGGUACAGAAGACAUAUACCUUUGAAAUCAGAGCAGUGAUUCAGAACCUUGGAUCCUUAGAUGUUCUUGGACUGAAAUUCCUGGAAGCCUCUACCACCAGUUGUGCUGGCCAGUAUUUCUAGGAGUUCUAGUCCAUGAACAUCUGGGAACACAACGUUGACAACCAAAAAAUUAAAGAAUUCUGAUGCCAGGACUUUGAGUACUAGAGCAAAACUCAGAUCAGAUUCCCUGCAACCUUGAUUAUCCAAACCUUUUUUCAUACAAACAGUUGUAAGCUCAGGGUGGGUAGGGUAUUCUCUUGUUGCUGCUAUUGUUAAACGGAGAUCAGAAAUGCUUACUGAUCUAUUUCAAAUCAUGGAGAGAUCUAUCAGGUUAACUAUCAGCAGAGGACUGCUUCCCAUUUUACAUAGUAAGAAAACUAGGGUGCCACUGAGUAUUUACUGAAAGAGAGGCACCCUUAACACUGGUUGUUUUGUCAAAUGUAUUUCAAAAACACUCACUGGUUGCAUUUACACUUUAAAUAAAUUCUUAAAUGUAUAUCUGAAAAAUAUGUUUCAGCUAGGCCUUACUAGUCAACAAACUAGCUCCCUUGUUAUAGGACCAAACAGACAAAUUGUAAUACCCUGAAACAUAUAAGGCUUUUGUAUACUUAUGUUGUACUUUUGUUAAAAGGAUUUGAAUGACUUUUUAUAAGCCAAUAGCAAAACUUUUACAAGGAAUAAUGAUUUAUAUGUGUUUGUGUGUAUAUGUUCAGGACUUGUCAUUUACAUGCCAUUUUCAGAGUUUCUGACAGGAAUAAGCUUUUUUUUAAGAGCAUGCAUAUUCAAGGCAAAAAUGUGGUAUGAAUAUGAAAUUAGAAUUUUUAGUUCUGGCCCACAUUAGUGAUAACACACAUUCUUAAAGCAUGUGUUCCUAGACUGGAAUAUAUCCAGCUCCAACCCAUAAUAACAACUAAAAGUUCUUGGAUUUAAGCCAAUUAAACCAAGCUUAAUUUCAUUCCUUUAGUUUAAUAGAGUUAUGGCUCAUGUUAAGGCAUUUUGGCAGUUAGCCUUUUCCUCUUUAAAAAAACUAUCUUUUUUCCUCUUUACCCCACUCUCUGUUUGUACCAGUUACAUAAUGUGAUGUUUAUGAGGCUAUAGCAAAAAUGUAAUUCAUUUUGCAUUUUUCUCAAGAUUUAUGUAUCCUCUGUAUUAUAUGUGCAAGCCUUUUGUAUUAUGUAUGCAGGCAUUUUGUUUGGUGUAAUAAAAAUGAUUCUAAAAUAUUAUAUACUUCUGCUGUGCAGAAGACAAUAUGAGUUUAUAUAUAAAUAUAUAUAAAAAUAAAUAUAUAUAGGGUCAGGUGUUAAAACUACAUGUAAGGCUUUAAAAAGUAUUUGUUCUGAGCCGAGUCUCGGUAGAAUGCAUUGUACAGAGAUUAUAAUUUAGAAAUUAACAAAUGCUUGUCUAUCAGGCCUUUUUUGUGGCUAAUUUACACAGUGGCCAGAAUCCUGUUGGUGUGUUACAUGUCGCAGCUAGUUGCUAUGGUCCUGGGAUGCCUCUGGAUUGUGCAGUUGAGCACCUGACCCAGCGUCUGACCAACAGAUGCUCUGGCACCUUGUCAGUGAGCAGAUCAUAAACAAAUACCAGUGGGAUUUUGGCCAGUGUUUUUUUUUUCCUGUCCUGAUCAUCUUGUGGUACACAUUCACAUGGAGAGACAUCAUAAUAACAACAGGCAACCACAGUUAAAAGAGCAACUCCUGAGACUGCAAGAGAAAUGUUAAAGUGGAAUAGUGGGGGUAUGUUUACAGUCAGUAGAUAUGCUGGCUAGGUGAUUCUAGUAUUUAUAAUCAAAAAGGGUAAGUUUUCUAAGCUCUGCCGUAAAUAGUGCAUUAAGGGCAUGACCCUAUUGCACCCAUUGGUGUGACAAGUGCACGCUGUAUCUGGUCUGGAGUUGGCUGGGUCCACAAAUUGUAUACGUUGCACUAACUUACAGGUGUAAGUGAACGGCAAAUGAAGGAGCUCCCAGUUUCUGUAUGUCAUGCAUUUCUGCCCUUCGCAGACUUUUCAUCCCAGUGCAGCCUCUGGCUAUCAGGUGUGCUGUUAGUUUGAGGGAGUUUAAAAGGGAAGCCCUGCAGAACAGGCGUGUGGAUCACACCUCAUUUCUGCAAACUACAGGCUGGGAUUCAACAAGCUCCUCAAACAUGGGUGCAGACCUGCUGAAUUCUAGACUAUUCUUUGAACAGUUGAUUCUCCCCACAUCCCCAUGCGUUUACAACACAGUUCUUUUGAAAUCAAACUUAGUUUCAAAACUGGUUGGCCUUGAAGCACUACAGGCAGCUGUUAAGGAAAGCCAGUUGAAAGCCCUUCUGUGUUCACAGAGGUAGUUCCACCCCGUACAAGACAUGAUUAGGAUCCCUACAGUUUAUAAAUCAGGACCCUUUCACAGGGUUGUGUUGAAUGGGUGAUCUGAGGUUAACCCUUUCUGGGCAAUAAAUUCAGAACUUGGAAAUGUUGCCAUUCCCUUGGGUAAUCCUUAGAAUCUCCCAGCCACCAUGGACUCUUAAGAGAUUCUGGAAGCUUUCAUCUGAAAGCUUAUUUAACUCUUAGAAUCACGUCACUGUGGUUGUCUCUCCUGCUAUCAGGAGAGACAACUUGGUGGGAGAAAGUCAGUGAUAUGACAUCUCCAGGGGUGGUGGCAUCUGUGGUUCAACCUUGAGUCCCCAGAUGUUCUAGGAUGAAAACUCUUACAAGCCUUCACCACUAGCUGUACUGGCCAGGAUUUCUGAGAGUUGUCGUCCGGGAACAUCUGGGGACCUAAGAUUGGGAACCAUUUGGGUAAAGGCUUGGGAGGAAAGAUUUAAACCCCCUCUCCCAGAAUAUCACUUACUCAGUUCUCAAAGCAGCUCCUUGCUCAUUAGUGAAAUGGGACCGGCAGGGAAUCCUAAGCAUGGGGCUUUUCUAGCUUGGCCCUUUGUCUUUCCAUGUGAAUGAGAAAGUACCUGGUGAUGUUUGAUGAUGCAGCAUCAGGAAUUAAAAUCUCUGUGUCGAUUGGCCUUUGGCCUUCUCUUUUUGGUAGUGAUGGGUUCUGGAAAAAAAAGGAAGGGAAAUUGAAUGAUACUGGGCAAAGAAUGUGUGCUUCAUUUAUUCCUGUGAAUAUUUCUUGUUGGUACCCAUGGUACUUUACCAUGCAAGUGUUACAAUUACAGCACUUGUGCUGAGAAGGGCACUGUCAAGGAGCUAUUGCUUUGGUCACCUCUCUUUUCUGCUGUACUUGGAUCAUAGGCAGAAUGAUUUCUGACUGAAUAAGAAUAAUUGGCCUCAUCAGCCCUGGAAGUAGAAACUACAAAACAGGAUACAUCCUGUACUUGGCUCCCUUGCAUGUGCCUAUAUUUUUGUUAAUUGCACAUAAGUACUUGUUUUAAGUCAAAACCACAAUGUAAUGUUCAUGUAUUUGUUUUGUGUGUGGAUUUUGGCUUGAAAUAGGCAGAAGGUAGUUUAAUGUGAGAAGUUUUUUUCUUUUAGUUUUUGAAAUGUUUUAACUUAUUGCUGUGUUUUCAUAGUUUAUCCUGUAUUCGGCUUAUGCCCGAAUAGCAGAGAGAGCGAGAAGGAGAAAUGCUCUGAGCAGGACUCCAUGGUCUUUUCUAAAACAUAAAAGACAAUCCACAAAGGAACAAUGUUCCACCAGGUCCCAUUGGAAACCACACUAGACCAAGUACAGGGAAUGUGUGGCCCUUCAGACAUUGUCAGGCAGCAGCUCCCAGCUCCCUAGGCGAUUGUAAGAGAUCACUGGGGUCGUGGUCCAACAACACCACACAUUCUUCCUCUCUUCUCUAGGACAUUUCUGGCAACUCUGUUUCAUCCACACAGUUUGUGAUAUUUAGUUGGGGGCUGAGCUUUUUCAUGUUUGCUGGUACAUUCUUGACUCAUGAGUAUUGGCCUGCUAGUGAAAGGAACAAUGUUAUGUCUUUAAACUCAUUAUUGACAGUGUCCGUCCAGUUUUACAGUGCUGUAAAUGGAACAACUUUCAGUUUUUCUUCAGUACUUUCUAGUAGAUGCUGCCUGUUGAUGCUGUCACUUGGAAACCUAUUCACACUAUGGUUCUGACUUUACAGUAAUUUCUAUAAGUAAAGGCGUCAACAUUAGCCAUUA